rnacentral:rRNA from 1 species
UACGUAGGGGGCAAGCGUUGUCCGGAAUUAUUGGGCGUAAAGAGCGUGUAGGCGGCCAGAUAAGUCCGCUGUGAAAUCUCGAGGCUCAACUUCGAGCUGUCGGUGGAAACUAUCUGGCUAGAGUCCGGAAGAGGAGAAUGGAAUUCCUGGUGUAGCGGUGAAAUGCGCAGAUAUCAGGAAGAACACCCAGUGGCGAAAGGCGGUCUCUGGACGGGACUGACGCUGAGACGCGAAAGCGUGGGGAGCGAACAGGAUUAGA